GGGUCAGUAGGUUGGUCGUGCCACCGGUACGUACUGGUCUCACUGAUUCCUCCUUCCUGAAGAACCGUAAUGCCAUUAAUUUGGUGUUGCGGGGAAACAGGACUGUUACUUUGAAAAAAUUAGAGUGUUUAAAGCAAGCUAGCGCUUGAAUACAUUAGUAUGGAAUAAUGAAAUAGGACGAUCGAUCCUAUUUUGUUGGUUUCUAGGAUUGACGUA
rnacentral:rRNA from 1 species